CAAAAUUCUCUUGGAUCUACAAGUCUCUCUUCUCUUCUCUCUCUUUUGGUUCAAGCAAAGAGAAGAACUCUCUUCUUCUUGUUUGGAGUCUCACGGAGGGUGGUGUGAAAAACAAGAAAGAAUUCUUUCCCUUUGAAACGAAGAUCCUCUCCUACUUCCCUCACUCGGCCAACAGGAUAAGUUCUCUCCAUUUCUCUCUUUCUCUUUCUCUUUCUCUCGGGUGCCUUGCAACAAAGAAGAAAGAAGGAUCUCAUCUCUCUCGGGUUUUGAUUAAGUGAACGCUUGUUCGUAAAUACUUUCUGAAGGAAGAACG